rnacentral:rRNA from 1 species
AUGCAGGGUGGCGCCACUGAAAAGGCCACCCUGCAGUACCAUCAGAAGCACUAUGAUUUGGCCUUCUUCAGUGUUAGAAUGGAUCGGCCCGUUCAUAUACUUUCUUUCAAUGAUGGUGUGAAGCGUUCUGACCAAGUUUUUGAGCUUGGAAGAGAUGAAAAGUCGUUUCUAAGGAUAAGCCAUGGUGUGGUGAAAAUCUUGAAUCCAAACCUGCUUGAACGGUAUCACUAUAUGCAUGUUCACAGUGCAGAUCCACACCCCGAUUAUGGCAUAGGAGGGCCACUCAUUGACUUUGGUGGAAAAAUCAUGGGAAUGGUCAAUGGCAAUACAAGCGGGUCUUUUAUACCGUCUUCCAUUUUAGUCAAGUGCUUGCAUUUGUGGAGAAAAUUUGGGUGCAUCCCUCGGCCCCAGCUUGGUAUGAAAUUUUGGUCAAUCAAGUUUGUAGACAUUGCUCUUGCUGAGAAUAUAUUGUGCAAGUGUAAUAUUGAUGAUGGCCUUAUUGUAAAAGAGGUGUCAUAUGGAUCUCCUGCUGAGAAACUUGGAAUACUGGUCGGUGACGUCAUUAAUUGUUUCAAUGGAGAACGCAUCUCUACAACAGUUGAGUUGGAGAAUAUGUUGCUAAGCAAAUGCGAGGAUGAAAAUAAUAGCCUUAAUUCUGAAGUCAAUGUCAAACUUGAUGUGUUUCACAUACGCAAGUCUCGCUGGAGUGACAGAACAUUAACUGUAAAAGUGUCUGAUGACAAUGAAGUUGUUGCAACAGGAGGUAUGUAUCCUUUGCCAAUCUAUUCUAUCUAA